rnacentral:rRNA from 1 species
GAUGAACGCUAGCGGCAGGCUUAAUACAUGCAAGUCGAGGGGCAGCAUGAUUGUAGCAAUACAAUUGAUGGCGACCGGCAAACGGGUGCGGAACACGUACACAACCUCCCAAUAAGUGGGGAAUAGCCCAGAGAAAUUUGGAUUAAUACCCCGUAACAUAACGAUGUGGCAUCACAUUGUUAUUAUAGAUUUUUCGCUUAUUGAUGGGUGUGCGGCUGAUUAGAUAGUUGGCGGGGUAACGGCCCACCAAGUCUACGAUCAGUAGCUGAUGUGAGAGCAGGAGCAGCCACACGGGAACUGGAACAGGGGCCGGACUCCUACGGGAGGCAGCAGUAAGGAAUAUUGGACAAUGGACGCAAGUCUGAUCCAGCCAUGCCGCGUGAAGGAUUAAGGUCCUCUGGAUUGUAAACUUCUUUUAUAAGGGACGAAAAAAGGCUUUUCUAAGUCGUCUGACGGUACCUUAUGAAUAAGCACCGGCUAACUCCGUGCCAGCAGCCGCCGUAACAC